UUGUGCAUCUUUUGUCUGCGCUGCCUCAGAAGUUGUGCAGAUGAUUUGUUUGUUUCCGCUGCUUGGAAGUUGUGCAUCUUUUGUCUCCGCUGCCUCAGAAGUUGUGCAGGUAACUGGAAUGUAGCAGUUUCUAUUCAUAAUGAAAAUCUGUAUUCGGAUAUGAACUCUUUCAGUUUUGGAAAAUAUACCGCUUAAUAUUAUAUAUGUUCAGAAAUUCCAUGGAAUCGUGCAUCUCAUUUACUCUGUAGGUAGACAUGGUUGCUUAUACUAAUAAAUAAGCUCA